GAUGAAGAACGCAGCUAAAUGCGAUACGUAAUGUGAAUUGCAAAUUCAGUGAAUCAUCGAGUCUUUGAACGCACAUUGCGCCCCCUGGUAUUCCGGGGGGCAUGCCUGUCCGAGCGUCAUUGCUGCCCUCAAGCACGGCUUGUGUGUUGGGCCUCCGUCCUCCUCCCGGGGGACGGGCCCGAAAGGCAGCGGCGGCACCGCGUCCGGUCCUCGAGCGUAUGGGGCUUCGUCACCCGCUCUUGUAGGCCCGGCCGGCGCUUGCCGACACAUCAAUCUUUUUUCCAGGUUGACCUCGGAUCAGGUAGGGAUACCCGCUGAACUUAAGCAUAUCAAUAAGCGGAGGA
rnacentral:misc_RNA from 1 species